AACUACGUGAGUGAUCUACCUAAAAUUGCUAGAAGGGCUCACAGACAAUUACUGUGGCCCUUCUUCCUAAGCUAGCUCUCCCCAAACUUGAGAGACUGGGAGAUUUGCUUGGUUGGGAAAAGGAAAGGAUGAAGAUGAAGCACCCAGCCCUUGACUCCUCAGCAAAGCAGAUUAUCAUCUCCACAUAAACAGGCCUGCUAGCACAAUUAUCUAUAUGUGUGAAGGAAGAAAUAGUUAGCACAAAGCAGAAGGCUGAAGAGACAAAAAUGUGUGUGCAGAAAAGAAGCACGAAAAGGUCUCCCCAGAGAUCUGGUAAGCUCCAUGGGCUAGUGAUCCUGUUGAAACCAGAAGAAUGGCUAAACUCAGAACUCCAUGUGUCAGCUGAAUCCAGGCAAGGCUACUGUUUAUAUCCCAUGGAUUUAGAGACAAAUCUGAGAAGACAUUGCUUUAAUUCCUCUCAGGUUAGUUGGAUUUUUUGGAUGUUAUCUUGAAAAGUUGAUCAUGUAAAUUUUAAAACUCAAUAUAGACACUGUAAAAUAAAGUCAUUGUUCAGAGGAGAGCUAGAGAGUGA
rnacentral:lncRNA from 1 species